CCCCGCCCUCCCUGUGAAGAGCCCGGUUUCUGGGAGAAUCCAGUUCAAGCCAGGAUUCUUCCAGGAGCAAAUUAUAGGACAGCUCCAUGGUACUCUGAGAAAUAACAGAUCCCUUUGCCCUUUUAACUACAAAGUCCAGAGCAGCUUCAGGCAUGGCUGGAUCCAGGUGCUGCCGUGUGCCAUCAGGGCCACUCAGGGGCUGCCUCCCAGCUCUGUUUCCUCCACGCUGGUGUGGUUUUCCUGGCAGACAGGGAGGUCCCCCAGCGGCUCCUGCUCUGUACCCUUGCCCCAGCAGUCCCAGGGGCAAGAAUGUUUCCUACCCAGGAGUCAGCAGUCCCGGGCCCGAGUCUCUUGGACUCUGCAGGUGCCGCCGAUGGCGCGGCAGCAGCAGACACGCCCAGCUGGCGAGUGAUCAGUGAGCAGCGGCACGGUGCCCUGCGGGCUCUGUGGCAGGGAGGGGCCCGUAUUUCACCAUACACACACAGGUGGGCACAUCCACCCGGGAAAGGCAGAGGAUGACCGGCUCCGACCCUCUGCCCGUCCUAUCGCAGGCAGGUGCCCCAGGAGCACCAGUACCUUUGUGUCGUUUGAGCGUUCAUGCCAAGAACACGCUCAGGCUUGACCUGCCUGUCUAAACUGACGUUCAGAGGAAGGACAGUUCCGAAGAAAGAAGGCAGGGAGGCGUGUGGCCAUUUCAUUAGGAAUCCCCUCAGGGGGUGUCCGUGCUGAUGUCUGUAGGGUCCGCCUCGGGUUUUAGGACCAGGAAGCAGGUCACGGGCAUUGGUUAAGGACGCAGCUCCCCACCCCGUGCAUUCGUUCGGGUGUCCUGCUCACAUGCGGGGAGGCCAGGGAGGCGGGGGGAGGGCCCCGUUAUGUGAAGGGUCUUGUUGCUUUUACCCCUGUGGACAUGGGAGGCUGUGGGCCAGACCGACGCACUCCCCAGAAUUCGCUGUCAGCCAGGUUCACCCCAUCCUUUGGCCAUGAUCACGGGCUGCAGGUGCGGUGAGAUCCACACCUCCGCUGGCCGCGCCCGUGACAACCCACUUCCUGGAGGAGCUGGCUGUGGGAGGGGCGGCACCGAGCCCAGCCUGGGGCGGUGGGGGUGAGAGGCGGCAGAGCUGAGAGCUGCGAUGCUGGUGGCUAUUACUUAUUCCUGUUCUAGGACAGGUCUUGUCUCAUGCAAUGCCACAGCCACCCCCAGAGAGGACAUUAAUACUGUGAUUCUGCCCAGGGGAGCUAGGGUGGCUAAGGAGAGCCACACACAAGGAAAAACAUAA